AGCGAACGCUGGCGGCAGGCCUAACACAUGCAAGUCGAACGAAGUCUUCGGACUUAGUGGCGGACGGGUGAGUAACACGUGGGAACGUACCUUUUGGUUCGGAACAACUCAGGGAAACUUGAGCUAAUACCGGAUGAGCCCUUAGGGGGAAAGAUUUAUCGCCGAAAGAGCAGCCCGCGUUAGAUUAGCUAGUUGGUGAGGUAAAGGCUCACCAAGGCUACGAUCUAUAGCUGGUCUGAGAGGAUGAUCAGCCACACUGGGACUGAGACACGGCCCAGACUCCUACGGGAGGCAGCAGUGGGGAAUCUUGCGCAAUGGGCGAAAGCCUGACGCAGCCAUGCCGCGUGAAUGAUGAAGGUCUUAGGAUUGUAAAAUUCUUUUACCAGGGACGAUAAUGACGGUACCUGGAGAAAAAGCCCCGGCUAGCUUCGUGCCAGCCGCCGCGGUAAAAC
rnacentral:rRNA from 1 species